rnacentral:rRNA from 1 species
GAUGAACGCUAGCGGGAGGCCUAACACAUGCAAGCCGAGCGGUAUUGUUUCUUCGGAAAUGAGAGAGCGGCGUACGGGUGCGUAACACGUGUGCAACCUGCCUUUAUCUGGGGGAUAGCCUUUCGAAAGGAAGAUUAAUACUCCAUAAUAUAUUGAACGGCAUCGUUUAAUAUUGAAAGCUCCGGCGGAUAGAGAUGGGCACGCGCAAGAUUAGCUAGUUGGUGAGGUAACGGCUCACCAAGGCGAUGAUCUUUAGGGGGCCUGAGAGGGUGAUCCCCCACACUGGUACUGAGACACGGACCAGACUCCUACGGGAGGCAGCAGUGAGGAAUAUUGGUCAAUGGGUGCAAGCCUGAACCAGCCAUCCCGCGUGAAGGACGACUGCCCUAUAGGUUGUAAACUUCUUUUGUAUAGGGAUAAACCUACCCUCGAGAGGGUAGCUGAAGGUACUAUACGAAUAAGCACCGGCUAACUCCGUG